UACGGGGGGGGCAAGCGUUGUUCGGAAUUACUGGGCGUAAAGGGCGCGUAGGCGGCCUGCUAAGUCGGAUGUGAAAUCCCUCGGCUCAACCGAGGAACUGCAUCCGAUACUGGCGGGCUUGAGUCCGGGAGAGGUGAGUGGAACUCCGAGUGUAGAGGUGAAAUUCGUAGAUAUUCGGAAGAACACCAGUGGCGAAGGCGACUUACUGGACACAUAUUGACGCUGAGGUGCGAAAGCGUGGGGAGCAAACAGGG
rnacentral:rRNA from 1 species